UACAGUCAUGUCAGAUUGAAACACCGAUUCCUGUGCGAUCACUGGAGUUAAGCAACACUGAGCCUGGUAAGUACUAAGAUGAGUGACCGCUUGGGAAUACCAAGGGCUAU